rnacentral:siRNA from 1 species
CUAUCCAUUACUUUUGUAGUACCG